rnacentral:snoRNA from 1 species
UGCUGUGAUGGUGUAAUUUGCGUCUGACUCUGUGACCAGUGACAGAAUGCCUGCUGUCAUAUGCUGGCACGGAUGGCUGAUGACCAUUGAAUCUGAGCG